GGCUUUAUAUUCAUUUAAAAUGAUUUUAGAUUGCAAAUCUAAAGGAGUAAUGGUUAAUUACUAAGGCUU
rnacentral:tRNA from 1 species